AUCAAUUUAAAUACUGUAUUUUUUUGAAAAAAAAAGAGCAGAUAAAGGUACUUAAAUUCUCUUAUACGUCCAGUUGAAUAUAGCAAGUUCUUAGCCGGCCAAAGCUGAGGUUUUUAAGCAGAAAAUAUUUCACACUGUACCACUUAAAUAGGCAAGGACAGGAAAUCAAAGAAUGUGACUACCCCCACACCUGUAAUUACUAG